UUCCGAGUCGCCUGAAGUUUCAGCAAUUUCUAAAUUAUUGUGACAAAUAUAUUGUAAAAUUUUCUAGUUUCACCGUCUAGCAGAAGACAAACCUUGCAGCACCUCUUUGGUUCAAGUUGAAGGCGACGGAAUCUUAUUUUUAGCCAGUAGGCCAUAGCUAAGGUGUCGGCAGUGUCUGGUGCUCUUUCAUAUAUUUUUGGCGGCUAAAAAGUACACUUAUAUCUAUCACAAUGCCCAUCAUUCGGCUGGAAUCAUCUGAUAAAGAAAUUUUCGACACGGACCAGGAGAUCGCCAAAUGCUCGGAGACCAUCAAGACUGCUCUCGAAGAUCUGGGCGAUGAGAGCGACAAUAGCGUGCUGCCCUUGCCGAAUGUCAACUCGCUAAUUUUGAAGAAGGUGCUCCAUUGGGCCACCUACCACAAGGACGACGCCGAAUUGGCCGAAGAAGACGAGAACAAGGAGAAGCGCACCGAUGACAUUUCGUCAUGGGAUGCGGACUUUUUAAAAGUGGACCAGGGUACCUUGUUUGAGCUGAUUUUGGCUGCCAAUUAUCUGAACAUUCAGGGAUUGCUGGAUGUGACGUGCAAAACAGUCGCCAAUAUGAUCAAAGGGGGAAAGUCUCCCCAAGAGAUCCGGGACACAUUUGGUAUAACUAACGACUUCUCGCCAUCUGAGGAGGAGCAGGUGCGUAAAGAGAACGAGUGGUGCGAGGAUAAGUGAUCCGGAGCCAUUGGCAUGCCCAAGUGAGCAAAUAUGUGUUCCAGACAUUUCAGGCGCAGGGAUGAGUAGAUUUCGAUCGAUUAAUCCAAUGUCGUGCAGGGGGGUGUUUAUAUAUUUCCGCAAAAAUAAUGAAACUGAAGGAAUUUUAGCGCAGUUGGUGUGAAAGAUAUUGUAGCGAAGCGUUGUUUACACGUAAAGAGAAAUUGUCGGACGGUCACUGCUAGCGAAGAUUGGCCAAAAAAAAA
rnacentral:misc_RNA from 1 species